rnacentral:rRNA from 1 species
GCGAGCGUUGUUCGGCAUUAUUGGGCGUAAAGGGUGCGUAGGCGGUUUGGUAAGUCUUGUGUGAAAUCUCCAGGCUCAACUUGGAGUCUGCACGAGAAACUGCCGGGCUUGAGUGUGGGAGAGGUGAGUGGAAUUCCUGGUGUAGCGGUGAAAUGCGUAGAUAUCAGGAGGAACACCUGUGGCGAAAGCGGCUCACUGGACCACAACUGACGCUGAUGCACGAAAGCGAGGGGAGCAAACAGG